rnacentral:lncRNA from 1 species
AAAAACGACGAACCUCGGCCUCCCACGACAGUGCAAAACGAGGCAAAACGGUAAGUUUUCAAUCCCUUUUUAUUUCCUGUUUUUCUUCCUAAAAAAUGAAAACGAAGAAAAGAAAAAAAAAAGAAUAAUAACAAAGAAAUAAACUCUCUCGAAGUCUCUUUUUUGCGUUUGAAUUUUUUUAAUUUUUGUAUUGAAUUUAUGUAAAAAGUACAACUUGUGUGUGAUGGCUUUUUAUAGCCGAAAAUACAAUAUUUUGCUACUGUUUCUUUUUGCCUCUAUGUCUGUCCUUCUUUUCUAUCUUACUCGCAGGUACGGAAGUCGACGUGGCGGUGGUGGUGCGCGGGUUAGGUGCGGUGGCAGCAAGCUAGGGUUUCAUAUUUGUUUCCUGAAAAUAUUGUGGGCUAGGGUUAAGUUUUAGGUUGUUGGGUUUGAAUUGGGUUUAGUAAUGUGGGCCCGUUGGGUUUGUUGUAAAUGGAACUUUUUUUUUUGGGGUUUUAUUUUUUGUAUGGUCUUG